UACAGAGGGUGCAAGCGUUGUUCGGAAUUAUUGGGCGUAAAGAGCUCGUAGGCGGUCUGUCACGUCGGCUGUGAAAUCCCGAGGCUCAACCUCGGGUCUGCAGUCGAUACGGGCAAACUAGAGUAUUGCAGGGGAGACUGGAAUUCCUGGUGUAGCGGUGAAAUGCGCAGAUAUCAGGAGGAACACCGGUGGCGAAGGCGGGUCUCUGGGCAAUAACUGACGCUGAGGAGCGAAAGCGUGGGGAGCGAACAGG
rnacentral:rRNA from 1 species